rnacentral:pre_miRNA from 1 species
AGGUGACAACUAAGCUACUCAUGAAAGAAUGAUGAGUAAUUUACCCCAACCAAUACAUAUUAGCCACAUAAGCACAUAUAUUCAUGAACUAUUUUGACUCCACAAAUAAAUUGCUCAUUUUCUUCAAAGGUAAUUUAGAAAAAACCA